rnacentral:lncRNA from 10 species
ACUGGAUUAUUUGAGGCCCUCUGUCUGAGGUGAGGCCCGCCUCAGUCCUCCCUCAGCGUCUUACCUUGCCUCCUCACCGAGCCUGGGCCGGCUUCCCUCCGCCGACGUCAGGCCGUCGCUCGUUGCUCAGGGCGAGAAUCUCGCGGUCUUCUGACCUCCAAUGCGCAAGUCAGUGGCGUCACAUCCUGGCAACGGUACUACCCUGGGUUCCGGGCAGGGGUGGAACUGGAUUCUGCCUGGAUGGGGAUCGGAUGGGGGUGGAGGUUUGAUUUGGGAAGCAGAGCACAGCAGCCCAAAUUUGUUGUAAUGGCGGCGGCUACAGACUUGGCAUAUGGCAUAAGACACACAGAGAGAGCCUUGCUGGUGUAGCUGAGAUUUACGACCCUCAUCCAACCAAACCAUUUCAGAUUCUUGGGGCUCAGAGCUCUCAUCGGAAAGACAUCUAUUCUGGGAGCAGGUGCCAAAGCUGGGGAAAGCUGCCGGGAACCUUAAAUCCUUGGGGAUGGAUGGACAGAUCCUGGGACGAGGGCGACCCCCGCCCCCACCCCUCGGGCUGCGGUUUAGGCACACGCAGGGCUCAGUCAAGCUCCGCAGUAACAGGUACCCUUGUGACUAUGAAGAUUGACAAAAAGUUGACGGCAACGAUGAAUUCUCUUCCAGAACUUACAUCCCAGAAGGCCCUCCCCUACUUCGGGUCUCCCUAGAGAGUGGAGAGACCUGCUGCCCUUGAAGAAGCAAACAGCCAUGUUGUGAGCUGCCUAAGCCUCUAGGUCUUGAGGGAAGCUUACAGUUAAGAGCCAGCAAAAGCCAGGGCCCUCAGUCAUGCCACACAAGGAAACGAAUCCUGCCAGCAACUAUGGGGGCUUGGAAGAGGAUAUUAAGCUUCAGUUGAGAAUGCAGCCUGACUGACACCAUCAUUGCAGCCUUGUGAGACCCCAAUCAGAGGACCCAGCUGAGCUGUACCCAGACUCCUAACCCACGGAAACUGAGAAAAUAAAUGUGUGCUAUUUAUAGCUGCU